UGGCUCAGAACGAACGCUGGCGGCAUGCCUUACACAUGCAAGUAGAACGGCAGCAUGGAGGAGCUUGCUCCUCUGAUGGCGAGUGGCGAACGGGUGAGUAAAGCAUCGGAACGUGCCGUGUAGUGGGGGAUAACGUAGCGAAAGUUACGCUAAUACCGCAUACGCACCGAGGUGGAAAGCAGGGGAUCGCAAGACCUUGCGCUAUACGAGCGGCCGAUGUCAGAUUAGCUAGUUGGUAGGCUAAAGGCCUACCAGGGAGACGAUCUGUAGCGGGUCUGAGAGGAUGAUCCGCCACACU
rnacentral:rRNA from 1 species